CACCGGCGGCUCGAGUGGUAACCGGUAUUAUUGGGUCUAAAGGGUCUGUAGCCGGCCGGAUAAGUCUCUUGAGAAAUCUGGCAGCUUAACUGUCAGGCUUUCAGGAGAUACUGUCUGGCUCGAGGCCGGGAGAGGUGAGAGGUACUUCAGGGGUAGGGGUGAAAUCUUGUAAUCCUUGAAGGACCACCAGUGGCGAAGGCGUCUCACCAGAACGGACCUGACGGCAAGGGACGAAAGCUAGGGGCACGAACCGG
rnacentral:rRNA from 1 species